GACGAACGCUGGCGGCGUGCUUAACACAUGCAAGUCGAACGGAAAGGCCCGGCUUUUGUUGGGUGCUCGAUUGGCGAAGGGGUGAGUAACACGUGAGUAACCUGCCCUUGUCUGUGGGAUAACUUCAGGAAACUGGGGCGAAUACCGGGUAUGAUCUCCUGCUGCAUGGGGUUGGUUGGAGAGUGUCGGCGGUGGUGGAUGGACUCGCGGCUUAUCAGCUUGUUGGUGGGGUAGUGGCGUACCAGGGCUUUGACGGGUAGCCGGCCUGGGAGGGUGACCGGCCACAUUGGGACUGAGGUACGGCCCAGAAUCCUACGGGCGGCAGCAGUGGGGAAUAUUGCACAAUGGGCGGAAGCCUGAUGCAGCAACGCCGCGUGCGGGAUGACGGCCUUCGGGUUGUAAACCGCUUUCGACUGUGCCGAAGAGUGAGUGACGGUAAUGGGUAAAGAAGCCCCGGCUAACUACGUG
rnacentral:rRNA from 1 species